GAGACCCACGCCAACAGUUGCCAGCAUGUCCUCCGGGAUGGUGGGGACACUGUUGGGACCGCCUCUGCUAAAGAGGAGGAAGGAAUGGGCAACGGUAGGUCAGCAUGCCCCGAAUUAUCCGGGCUACACGCGGGCUACAAUGGGCAGGACAAUGGGUUUCGACACCGAAAGGUGAAGGCAAUCUCUUAAACCUGCUCGUAGUUCGGAUUGCGGGUUGCAACUCGCCCGCAUGAAGCUGGAAUCUGUAGUAAUCGCGUCUCAAAAUGGCGCGGUGAAUAU
rnacentral:rRNA from 3 species